rnacentral:rRNA from 1 species
GACGUAGGGUGCGAGCGUUGUCCGGAUUUAUUGGGCGUAAAGAGCUCGUAGGCGGCUCGUCGCGUCAGCUGUGAAAACCCGCAGCUUAACUGUGGGCUUGCAGCUGAUACGGGCGGGCUAGAGUUCGGUAGGGGAGACUGGAAUUCCUGGUGUAGCGGUGAAAUGCGUAGAUAUCUGGAGGAACAUCGGUGGCGAAGGCGGCAUCCUGGACCGGUAUUGACGCUGAGGCGCGAAAGCCAGGGGAGCAAACGGG